GGAGUUUGUAGCAACAGUUUGCUUCGUUCUUUGAUAUCACCACCAAUGUGGUAAGGCAAACCGCAGUUGGCGAAUGAUACGAAUUCACCACGUUCAAACAUGAUAAUUUCGGCGUCUUCGCUUAAACGGCGGGCACGUGCUGCAGCAGAAGCGCCACCUGCAACACCUC
rnacentral:antisense_RNA from 1 species